UCUGCCUACUAGAAUUACUGGUAACAGGUGAAAAAUAACUUCUUUUCAAUAUGGGAAGGACACACUCGGUACUGCUGGGUUUGGAAAGAACCAGUCAAAGCAGUGUUGGCUUCCUGAAUCAAACAACACCACAGUACCUAUUUCUCCUGGAGAGGUAGUGUUACAGCUCUUGGAUGUGACAGUGGUAUCUGAUUGUUCCCAGCUGCCGAUCCUUUGUCAGCAGAUUCCUACGCAUGGGAUGUAUAUGAAUGGAAGCUACAUGGUCCUUUUUUUCCUACCGUGCUCCUGUGCUAUAUGGUCUUACCGAGAGAUCAGUAAGAGAAGAAAAGGGCUUUGGAGGUCACUGAUAAAAAUGUUAAAUAAAACUGGCCCCAGUAUUGAACGCUUUGGAACACCACCAGUGACCAGCUACCAACUGGACUGAACUCUGUUCACCUUGAGAGCAGCAAUCCAGACAGUAUUUCACACAGUAAACUUCACGUCUGUCCAAGCUAUGAGCAGCCAGUUUCUCCACAAGAAUGCUGUUGGUGUUACUUUACUAAAAUCCAGAAUACUUUGGUGUAUUUCUGAUUCAGUCUUCUGUAUGAAUCACAAUAAUGCAUUGUUUCAGACUGUAUUUAAUUGUUGCUAUCCCCAUACCACCUUGACAAGAAACAGGAUCAGAGAUGUCCUAUAAACAAAAGUGAACUCCACUGAAUGCCACCCUCAGCAAGGAAACAGACUUGAAUAUGAAGAAAAUGCCUCCAAAACAGUACAGGAAAAUACAGCUAUGGAUGUCUUUAAAGUGAACUAGUCAGUACAUGUAAUAACUUUUGGCAAUAUAUGAAAAUAUGUUGUAACUCAAACUUGAUUUUCAAGGUGUUUCUUAUUUUUCCUUCCAAUACAUCAUAAGCUAUGGCCCUAUGCAGAGAAAAAAUCCCGACACUUUUGGAUAACACGUUCUAAAAGUCAGUGACUGUUUCUAUAAUCUUCCUGCAGCUUUUCCCUUUUUAGCCCUUGAGCCUAGGCCAAUCCAAG
ensembl:lncRNA